CCUACGGGAGGCAGCAGUGGGGAAUUUUGGACAAUGGGCGCAAGCCUGAUCCAGCAAUGCCGCGUGAGUGAAGAAGGCCUUCGGGUUGUAAAGCUCUUUUGUCAGGGAAGAAACGGCCGAGGCUAAUACCUUUGGCUAAUGACGGUACCUGAAGAAUAAGCACCGGCUAACUACGUGCCAGCAGCCGCGGUAAUACGUAGGGUGCAAGCGUUAAUCGGAAUUACUGGGCGUAAAGCGUGCGCAGGCGGUUUUGUAAGUCUGACGUGAAAUCCCCGGGCUCAACCUGGGAAUUGCGUUGGAGACUGCAAGGCUGGAGUCUGGCAGAGGGGGGUAGAAUUCCACGUGUAGCAGCGAAAUGCGUAGAGAUGUGGAGGAACACCGAUGGCGAAGGCAGCCCCCUGGGUCAAGACUGACGCUCAUGCACGAAAGCGUGGGGAGCAAACAGGAUUAGAUACCCUGGUAGUCCACGCCCUAAACGAUGUCUACUAGUUGUCGGGUCUUAAUUGACUUGGUAACGCAGCUACGCGUGAGUAGACCGCCGNGGGAGGUACGGUCGGUCGAGAAGUUAAACGUUAAAGGUUAAAGUUAGUACGGCGUUGAGACGNGCCGACGGACGACGACGAGGGAGGAGG
rnacentral:rRNA from 1 species